GGCCUCGUAGCUCAGUUGGCUAGAGCGUUGGCUGUACUAAAGCCCUCACCCUUACUGGCGUGAGUUCGAAUCUCACCAAGACCA
rnacentral:tRNA from 1 species